rnacentral:rRNA from 1 species
AUACGGAGGGUGCAAGCGUUAUCCGGAAUUACUGGGCGUAAAGGGUGCGUAGGCGGCUUGAUAAGUCGGAUGUGAAAGCCCCGGGCUUAACCUGGGAAUUGCAUUCGAUACUGUCAGGCUAGAGUAUGUCAGAGGUUGGCGGAAUUCCUGGUGUAGCGGUGAAAUGCGUAGAUAUCAGGAGGAACACCAGUGGCGAAGGCGGCUAACUGGGGCAAUACUGACGCUGAGGCACGAAAGCGUGGGGAGCAAACAGGAUUAGAAACCCUUGUAGUCC